UAGGUUGACGCGCGUCGAGGUCUUCGGAGUGAUCCGAAGCUAAGAGGGAAUCCGGUGCGGCAUCGAUCGCCCAAUCCGGAGCUGCCCCCGCAACUGUAAGCGGUGAGUUUUCGACCCUAACGUCACUGGCGCCAAGCGCUGGGAAGACGGUCGAAGGCGCUGAUCCGCGAGCCAGGAGACCUGCCCCGACGGCGUAUUGAUGU
rnacentral:ncRNA from 8 species